rnacentral:rRNA from 1 species
GACGAACGCAGGCGGCGUGCUUAACACAUGCAAGUCGAACGGAAAGGCCCUGCUUUUGUGGGGUUCUCGAGUGGCGAACAGGUGAGUAACACGUGAGUAACCUGCCCUUGACUUUGGGAUAUCUUCAUGAAACUGGGGCUAAUACCGGAUAGGAGCUCCUGCUGCAUGGUGGGGGUUGGAAAGUUUCGGCGGUUGGGGAUGUACCCGCGGCUUAUCAGCUUGUUGGUGGGGUAGUGGCUUACCAAGGCUUUGACGGGUAGCCGGCCUGAGAGGGUGACCGGCCACACUGGGACUGAGAUACGGCCCCGACUCCUACGGGAGGAAGCAGUGGGGAAUAUUGCACAAUGGGCGGCAGCCUGAUGCAGGAACGCAGCGUGCGGGAUGCCGGCCUUCGGGUUGUAAACCGCUUUCGCAUGUGACGAAGCGUGAGUGACGGUAAUGGGUAAAGAAGCACCGGCUACCUACGUG